AACAAAUGCUAAUACCCCAUAUGCUUUCGAGUGAAAUGGAUUUAUAUUUAUCCGCCUAAAGAGAAGCUUGCGUCUGAUUAGCUUGUUGGUAAGGUAAAAGCUUACCAAGGCGACGAUCAGUAUCUGGUUUGAGAGGACGAUCAGACACACUGGAACUCNCNCNCNCUCCAGACUCCUACGGGAGGCAGCAGUGGGGAAUUUUCCGCAAUGGGNGAAAGCCUGACGGAGCAAUACCGC
rnacentral:rRNA from 1 species